rnacentral:rRNA from 1 species
AACGAACGCUGGCGGCAUGCCUAACACAUGCAAGUCGAACGAGACCUUCGGGUCUAGUGGCGCACGGGUGCGUAACGCGUGGGAACCUGCCCUUAGGUUCGGAAUAACUCCCCGAAAGGGGUGCUAAUACCGGAUAAUGUCUUCGGACCAAAGAUUUAUCGCCUUUGGAUGGGCCCGCGUUGGAUUAGCUAGUUGGUAGGGUAAAAGCCUACCAAGGCGACGAUCCAUAGCUGGUCUGAGAGGAUGAUCAGCCACACUGGGACUGAGACACGGCCCAGACUCAGAGGGAGGGCGGAAGUGGGGAAUAUGGAAGAGGGGGGGAAGGUCUGACCCAGCAUGGCGGGGUGAGUGAGGAGGGCCUUGGGUUUAAAAGGCUCUUUUCCCCGGGAGGAAAGUGACGGUCCGGGAAAAAUAAGCCCCGGCUAACCCCGUC